GGGGAGAGCGUGCCAGCGGCGUGGCCGCCAUCUUGUUUGUGUCCCUCGCUUCCUGUGCGUCGGUUCUCUCCCAUUCAGGCUUUCCCCUUCCUUCCGCCAUGCCUGGGUCUGUGCAUUGCCCUACUCCGCAGGAGCUCCUGCUGUUCCUGGACUCUUAAGCAAAGGCGUUUCAAACCAGGAAGGGACAUCAGAGGAACAGAUGUUCAGCUGAGAGAUGGAGCCAGGACUAGAAGAAAGGUAUUUUGUUGCUGCUUCUGUGCCCAGAGAAAUGAGGACGCUGGUUCACAGGAAACAAGAUGCAGGACUCCCUUCAGCAUGUCUUGUAAGACAAAAAACUCAAUAUUGUCAGGAUGUCAGUUCUUCCCAACUAAACCUAUUGAUUCAAUGAAAUCACAAUGACAAUAUCAGAAAGUUUUUUAUGGAUAUCAGCAAUCUAAUUCUAAAAUGUAUAUAGAGAGACAAGUGACUCAGAAUAACCAACACAACGUUUGAAGGAGCAGAACAGAGUUGGAGGACUGACAGUAUCCAACUUCAAGACUUACUGUGAAGCUACAGUAACCAAGGUGUAGUUCUACUGGUGAAAGAAAAGACAAUGUGUUCCAUGGCUCCCAGUGCCCUCUGGAUCAACUCCAAGCUCUUUCAUUUGACAUUGGCAUAAAUGUCCACUCUGUUACUUGAACUCACAUCCCAGAGAAGCCCACCUUGCUCAGCAGAAGCACAUCAAUGAAGUCUAAAGUCUUGGACUUUGCCUUGUCCUUGAAGAAGUCAUCAGUACCCUGAGUGGGGAGGGUACGGCGCCGCUCCUGGAUGACAGCAUCUGUGAAGUCGUGCACCAGGCGGCAGGCCCUGCGGAAGCGCUGCCCAUCAGGAGUCAGAUAAUACAGGAAGUCCGAGUGCAGGAGAAUCUGCUGGUUUCUUUUUUCUACAAAGGCACUGAGUUCCAAGAUGGCGGCAAUAUACUUACUGGGCUUCCUGUAUGAAGGAGAUAACAACUUAACAUAUGCAAAGUCCCAGGAGCACUUCUCACCAGCAGCUAGAAGCUACCGCCCAUCAGGAAAUUGAGCAUCCAGAAACAGCCAGGAGACUUGACUCUCCAAACUCUCUUCUCUCCAGGCACCCUAUCUCUGAGAGCUGCCUCCAUGCACCAAGAUGCUCAGAGUACAGCUUGCACACCAUGCUUCUCUCCUGUCUCUCACACCCGGUAUUCAGUCUGGACUCUUCAUUCCAAAAACUGUUCAAAAAACUCAGACCUCACCAUCUUUCAACUCUUUCUGGCUCAUCCCCCACCAUAACCAACUUGCAUCCAAUGUCAGCCCCAUGUAAUGUCUACAUGACAGGCAGACCUCCACAGAGCUCAGCUGUGACCGUAUAUGUCAUCAGCUCAGACUCCAAAAGAUUCCUGGGAACCUCUUAAUAAAGUUCAUUCCGCUUUUCCUGAUUUUGUGUCCUGAAAUCUAGCCCUGUCUACUUCCACCACCUCAUUUCUACUCUCUGUUACACAUCCUUGCCUCGUCCUAGCCUUCUUGCCUAUUAUUCAGUUAUUUCUACCUACUUGAAAGGACCAUGCUUCCUCUCUCCCCUUCCCCACCCUUCAAAGCCCUGUGACACAAUUCCUUCAGGAAGGCACUUCUGGUUACCCUGGUCAGUCAUCCCUUUCCAACCUACUCCCUUGAGAUCAUGGCCCAAGUUCUCAGGCCUGAGGGAAGGACUCACUCCUGACAAUUGCUAUCAAAGCUGAAGACACAUUUCUGCAGACUGUCCAAGGUCAUGAGGCUGAUGUGCUCAAACAUGUCCAGUCUGGUGCUGCCCUCUGAGGCCAGGCGCUGCCACUUGUCCUGGCCAGAGGAAAAAGAAAAACAGAGCUGAAGUUGAGUACUGCCUCCUGAGAACUCCUUCCCAGACCCAGACAUCAAGAUGUAUCUCCUGCAAUCAUCCUCUGGGUCUCUGCCCCAGGCACCCAUCCCCAGGGAGGACCAGCCUUGGAUAGCAGCGGAGACUGUUACUGUUAGGAGGUAAGCUCAUGGCUGGCAGUCGAGAGACCUGGGAUCAAAUCCUACCUCAGCCUCCUGAGGGAAGGUGUUCUCUUUCCAGGAUACACAAGGGGGCAUAGUUUUAAGAGCAAGAAUUUCCUAGCGCCAUGCCCCCCACUCAUCUCUCUCCAUCUGGGAAAUUUAAUGGUUUAUGUUUGAAUUUUGCAGGCAUGGGAAGAAACUAAGAGCCACUCCAGUAGAAGUUCUAAGGAACUCCUUUUAUUGGCCAGGGGUCUUGGAGAAUGUAGGGGUUCCUUCCAGGUUAAAAGUCCUUUUCUUCCACACCACUUCAGACUCCAUGUUUGGGUCCCCUUCCACGAACACUCUCGUGGAAGCCAUCUUUCUCUCGCCUGGAUUUCCCCUCUGGGGUCCCCUUCCACACUCUCUCAUGGAAGCCUGUCUUCCCCUCCUAAACUCCAUCUCUCUCUAUUCCCUUCCACUCAGUGUGGAAUCUGCUUUCCUAUUCUGGAUUCCAUCUUUCUGGAACCUCUCACUUGGCAUGAUAGUUAGCUGUUUCUUUCUCCCCCUGUUUCUCUAUCUCUAAAUAAAUAAAUCACUUUCUACAAAUCCUUUGAGUCCUGCAAUUACUGCACACUGUGCCGUGGUCCCCACUCUCAUUCUUGAGAGGGCAGGAGGCCAAGAACCUGGAGAAACGUCCUCUCAGGGGAGCUGAGGGCACCACGAAACCCUGAACCCCAAUAUUACAUUUUGGAAAGCCAGCCAGGAAAGGGGUACACCAGAAGAGGGGUACAGCCAGGAAAGGGGUAGAGCCAGAGAAGAAGACGUCAAAAUCGUGAGGAAAACCAACCCCAUUCUGUCCUGUCUCUUUAUGAACACCUGCAGUGGUGCGGCUGGGCAGGGCAUUGGACCGGAGAAGUGGUGCCUCAGAGGCAUGACCCAGCCCUGAGGGGGGUGGCCAGAAUUAAGAGCACAGUUUCUUUACCUUCAAGCUCUCUCUGCUUUCUGUCUCCUUCUCUAUCCUUCAGAUAUUAUCUCUGGGACCAAAGCCUGAGGGAGCCUGUGGGGCAGAGUGGGUGAGCACAGCCCUGGGGCUUUUUGCUCCUUGCUGGCCCGGAACAGCCGAGCCCCAGGGGCAGAAGCGAGUGCGCAGCCGUGGGCUGGAGAAAACAGUGGGGAGGGGCAAGGUGCACCCGGAGCCUGCAGGGGACUAGGGAGACUGGCGGCCUGGCACAUGGCUCUGCAGUCUCAGGCAGCAGGGUAAAAAGGCUCCCCAGGGCGUUUGCCUGCAGGCCACAGGUCCCUUUGUGGGCAGUAGCUCGGGAAGUGGCCCAGACGUGCAAGUGGUUCUGGUGAGGUCAACAUGGCGACUGAAUGCCACGGGGGCGGGGGAACUCACAUUGGCCCAGCAGCCUCGAACACGACUUUUAAAGUGAUGUGGCAAAUGGGUUUUUUCCUCUGCCGGUGUGCGGUUCUAAGGGAACAGAAGCCACUGAAGUGGCUGCUGGCUGUCAGCCCUGCCUGACUUUUAGGCAGGCCACACCACCUCAAGGUGCAGUGUGCAGCUUAAGAAACCUUUCUGCCUUCCCUUAUGCAGGUGGCCGAUUGCACAGCUGGUUAAGGGGUAGGAGCUGCAAGGUUGCUGGUUCAAAUCGCCGGUGGGGUCGGUCUUGAAUUGUUGAGAUCUUUUGGGGAAAUGCAGAAGCUGAAGGCUCUGGGACUUUGUGUUUGGUGUAUAAUUUGUCUUGCUUAGGAUUGGCUCUCUCUCUGGCAGAACGUUUCCACCUGGAAGAUCAUAGUCAAACCAGUUCCAGGACCAAAUAGUCAAUGGCAGCUCUCACAAUCUUAAGAGCAUUUUCUUACAAUGGAAAAUGGGUUAGGGGAGAGGAGGCCCCCGUCCUGAGGGUAUUGUUCCGGCCUCAGCCAUGCCCCGCCUGCCUUCCUUGAGCUGUGUGCUCUAACGGCCCCUCCCUAGAAGUUCACUUCACCCUUCUGGGGCAGUUUUAUAAUCUGUCUUGCGCAAAUUGGACUUUUCCUGGGAAAUAUUGGUACCUAUAUCCUGAGCCUCACUGGCCUCGUUGGGGCUCCUUGGUAUGUGACUACCCAGCCCAACAGCUCCUCUCGUUCCAUGACUCUAUGGUAUUCACUGGAGGUCAUGCAGUGAGUGGUCCCACGACGCUGGCAGGUCGUGAUUGGAAUCCAGUACAUGGGAGCCCCUCUGAUAAGAUGGAUCAUGCAUUUUGGACACACAAAAUUUCGGGGUACUGACUGAAAGACGUUUCACGUCUACCCAUUUUACCCAGGGGACACCUCAGGUCAAAGUGGCUGUAAUUUCUUUAACCGGGGAUGUGGGCAUCCCUUGUGUUCAAUUUCAGAUGGGUGCUUCUCUUCCCAAGCUCAAGUCUCCAUUAAAAUGUAUACUGGAAAACUGGGACCAAUUUAGCACAUGGUCCUUAAAGAAGAAGUGGCUUAUUUUUCUCUGCCUAACAGAGUGGCCAAAUUACCCUCUGCUGAAUGGAAAAUCUAACCAAGGGAAGAAAACCCAACAGUUUUCCUUGAGUGAUUGCGGGAGGCUUAAGGAAGUACACCCCCAUCACCAGACUCUAUAGAGGCUCAGUUAAUACUAAAGGACAAGGUUAUUACUUAGUCAGCAGCAAAUAUCAGGAGGAAGCUCCAGUAGCUGGCGUUGGGACCAGAGCAGAGCCUAGAAUCAUUACUGAACCAGGAAACCUCAGUGUUUUAUAAUAGAGACCAGAAGGAACAGGCUGAAAGAAAUCUGAGAGAUCAGCCUUAGUCAUGGCUUUCAGGCAAGCAGACCCUAGGGGCUCAAAUGAGGGAAAGACUUGGGUUAGCCACUAGUCUGGCAGAACUUAUUACCAGUGCAGCCUGACGGGACAUUUUGUAAGAAAUUGUCCCCAGAGGAAUGGACCACCAUCUCAUCCAUGCCUGCUGUGCCAAGGGAAUCACUGGAAAACACAGUGUCCCAGGGGACGAUGGUUCUCAGGGCCUGAGGUGUCUGACCAGAUGACCCAGGGGCAGGACAGAGGGUUCCUGGAGCAAGUACCAGCACAAGUUGUCACCCUCACAGAGCCCCAGGUAAAGCUGACCAUAGAGGUCCAAGAAGUCAGUCUUUUCCUCGACACUGCAUGGCCUUCUCGGUAUUUCUCUCCUGCCCUGGAGACUUGGUGCUUGUUCAUUUUCUCCCCUCAGAUCCUCCCUCUCUAGGCUGAUCCUGGGAAGGCCAUUUCAGUCAUUCUGUCCACUCCAGCGGCAGUUAAGGUAGUGGAAAUAGACUGAUGGAUUCAUCACACUGUGCUGAAGCCUUGGAUAUCCCCUGAAGAAAGUCACAGACCCUGCAUUCCACAGCAUGAAGUUCUAGGAGACAACCCUUCAUAUCCCUGUGAGCCAUUAGAAAAAUCUACACCUGCUUUUCCAGAUCCUUAGGGUCCACAAGGGGGCGCAGUUUUAAGAGCAAGAAUUUCCCAGCGCCAUGCCCUCCUCGCAUCUCUCCAUCUGGGAGAUUCAACACUUAUGUUUGAAUUUCGUGGACACGGGAAGAAACUAAGAGUCGAUCACUCCAGCAGAAGUUCUAAGGAACUCCUUUCAUUGGCCAGAGGUCUUGGAGAAGGUGAGGGUUCCUCUCAGGUUAAAAGUCGCCUUCUUUCACACCCCUUCGGACUCUGUGUUUGGGUCCCCUUCCAUUAGUACUCUCCUGGAAGCCAUCUUUCUCUUUCCUGGAUUUCCCCUCUGGGGUCCCCUUCCACACUCACUCUUGGAAGCCUGUUUUCUCCUCCUAAACUCCAUCUCUCUCUAUUCCUUUCCACUCAGUGUGGAAGCUGCUUUCCUUUCCUGGAUUCCAUCUUCCUGGAUUCUCUUACUCAGCAUGAGAGUUAGCUGUUUCUUUCUCUCUCCUCCUGUUUCUCUCUCUCUAAAUAAAUAAAUCACUUUCUACAAACACUUUUCAGUCUGGCAUUUACUGUGCACUGUGCCGUGGUCCCCUCUCUCAUUCUUGAGAGACCAGGAGGCCAAGAACCUGGAGAAACAUCCUCUCAGGAGAGCUGAGGGCACCCUGAACCCCAAUAUUGCACUCCUGUGGUCUUUGUGCUCUUUGUCAAUCUCCUGCACUCCUGUAGGUUCCAUCUAUCAAAUCUUCAGUAACAGUUAGGACAGCCUGCUCUGGGGACAGAUAAACCAAGGUACAAUCACUGCUACACCUCU